rnacentral:rRNA from 1 species
GGGAUUAGAUACCCCACUAUGCUUAGCCUUAAACCUAGAUAUUGAAUUUACAAGCAACAUCCGCCAGGGUACUACAAGCGCUAGCUUAAAACCCAAAGGACUUGACGGUGUCUCAGACCCACCUAGAGGAGCCUGUUCUAGAACCGAUAAUCCCCGUUAAACCUCACCACCCCUUGUUUCCUCCGCCUAUAUACCGCCGUCGCAAGCUUACCCUGUGAAGGUCUAAUAGUAAGCAAGAUGGGUAAAUCCCAAAACGUCAGGUCGAGGUGUAGCUUACGAGGUGGGAAGAAAUGGGCUACAUUUUCUAUAUCAGAAUAAUACGAACAGCACCAUGAAAUUAGUGCUCGAAGGUGGAUUUAGUAGUAAAAAACAAAUAGAGAGUCUUUUUGAACCAGGCUCUGAGACGCGCACACACCGCCC